rnacentral:rRNA from 1 species
GAUGAACGCUGGCGGCGUGCCUAAUACAUGCAAGUCGAUCGAACAGAUGAGGAGCUUGCUCCUCUGACGUUAGCGGCGGACGGGUGAGUAACACGUGGAUAACCUACCUAUAAGACUGGGAUAACUUCGGGAAACCGGAGCUAAUACCGGAUAAUAUAUUGAACCGCAUGGUUCAAUAGUGAAAGACGGUUUUGCUGUCACUUAUAGAUGGAUCCGCGCCGCAUGAGCUAGUUGGUAAGGUAACGGCUUACCAAGGCAACGAUGAGUAGCCGACCUGAGAGGGUGAUCGGCCACACCGGAACUGAGACACGGUCCAGACUCCUACGGGAGGCAGCAGUAGGGAAUCUUCCGCAAUGGGCGAAAGCCUGACGGAGAAACGCCGCGUGAGUGAUGAAGGUCUUCGGAUCGUAAAACUCUGUUAUUAGGGAAGAAAAAAUGUGUAAGUAACUAUGCACGUCUUGACGGUACCUAAUCAGAAAGCCACGGCUAACUACGUG